rnacentral:rRNA from 1 species
AAGAGAAUACGGGGGGCCUACGGGAGGCAGCAGUGGGGAAUUUUGCACAAUGGGCGAAAGCCUGAUGCAGCGACGCCACGUGAGAGAUAACGGCCUUCGGGUUGUAAACCUCUUCAGCAGGAAGAAGCGCAAGUGACGGUACCUCAGAGAAC